rnacentral:tRNA from 1 species
GCCUUCGUGGUGUAAUGGUCAGCACACUCGAUGUGUAUUCGAGAAGUCCUUGGUUCAAGUCCCGGAGGGGGCA